rnacentral:rRNA from 1 species
CCUACGGGAGGCAGCAGUGGGGAAUAUUGGGCAAUGGGCGCAAGCCUGACCCAGCAACGCCGCGUGAAGGAAGAAGGCUUUCGGGUUGUAAACUUCUUUUGACAGGGAAGAGUAGAAGACGGUACCUGUCGAAUAAGCCACGGCUAACUACGUGCCAGCAGCCGCGGUAAUACGUAGGUGGCACGCGUUGUCCGGAUUUACUGGGUGUAAAGGGCGUGUAGCCGGGUUGACAAGUCAGAUGUGAAAUCCGCAGGCUCAACCUGCGAACUGCAUUUGAAACUGUUUCCCUUGAGUAUCGGAGAGGUCAUCGGAAUUCCUAGUGUAGCGGUGAAAUGCGUAGAUAUUAGGAAGAACACCAGUGGCGAAGGCGGAUGACUGGACGACAACUGACGGUGAGGCGCGAAAGCGUGGGGAGCAAACAGGAUUAGAUACCCCAGUAGUC